AAGUCGUAACAAGGUUUCCGUAGGUGAACCUGCGGAAGGAUCAUUAACAAAUUACAAAUGCGAUCUGCAGCAAGACAGCAUCCGUGUGCGCAGCACAUGGUACCUCUCCUGCUCAGGUAUUUUACUGGCAGAUGCGCAGCAUCUGCUAGUAAAAAAGCAACUAGGUGUGCAAUCUGCAUAAGAUUACACGCUUUUACUGGCAGACACUACGCAUCUGAAAUCAGAUGCGUAGUGUCUGCCAGUUAAAAACGAUACAUGUUGACAACGACAGAACACACAAACUUUUAACAAUGGAUCUCUUGGCUCUU
rnacentral:misc_RNA from 1 species